GUGGGAUUGAAGCAGACAUGGCAAAAGAUUCAGUGUGAGAAUUCUCAUGUGGGAGUAGAAACGGGUCAUCAGAGGGGCUAAAAUAGCCGUUGUAAGCAUCGAAGUCCGUAACAAAUAAAAUAGGGUGGUGGUCAUAAUGUGAUAAAAGGUCAUUGACAUAGGCAUUUUGACCAACAUGCUUUGAAAUUUUAAAAAGACCAGCAUUACACGCUUGUAAUAUAACAUAAUCCCUAAUAUUAAAUUCAAAGUAUUGUUUAUGCCAAUCAACUUGAGGUUUAUAUAAUGCUUUACUUGCUUCAAAUUGUUUAUUGAUCUCAAUAUGCAAGCUAUGAAAAUGUGAUACAACUACCUCAACUGACAUAGACACACAAGCAUGUGGGUGCAUGAGAAUAAGGUUUAGAGGUUUCAAAGGUUCACAACAAAGAAUAACUUCAAAGGGUUUUAGACCUAAAGACCAGUUCACAGGAUCGUUAAAUGCAAUUUGAACAAUUGGAGGGAUCAAGUCCCAAUUUUCAAGAUUUUUCUGGACUAGAGACUGUAAUAAAUUGUCAGGAUUUUGGUUAGAACUUUUGUUUUGACCAUCAAUUUGAGGUUGGUCAGUGGUGGAUAAUUUUGCCUUAGUAUUAACCACAGGCGACCGGAUUUUCCAAGGGUGACUGGUGACAUCGUCAAGCUCUUUAACUUGGGUAAGGGUAUGACAUAUAACAUGUGAUCGAGAAUUGUCAGAGAUAAGGGGUAUAGUAUCCAAAGUCUUGGGAAGAGUCUGGAUUCCACCUAAGGAAGUGUCCUCAAUAUCAUCCAAGUCAUCAAAAUCUUCAAGUUUAGGUUCAUAGACUAGAUCUUCUAACAGCUCCUCUAUUACAUUCUUUCGUUCUUCCAUGACUAAGGUUCAAUUAGGACAUUUAGAAGAAAUGUGACCAAAGUCUUUACAGUUGACGCACAACAAGUGAGAAGAAGACCUUGGAGUUUCAGAAAUUCUACCUUGAUUUUUCAAGAUUGGAGAACCAUUAGAAGGGGGAGGUCCUAGAAGGGACUUAACGGAAGGAGGUGGAGCCAAUGAAGCCAAAUGAUGAUUAUAAAAAAUUUUACCCUUAUUUUUCAAAAUUGGAGGAACAUCAGACGGGGGAGGUCCUAGAAGGGACUUAACGGGAGGAAGUGGAGCCAGUGACACAGAAGGAUGAUUGUCAAUAUGCUUUCUACUUGGAGAAAAAGAUCUUGGACUAUCACGACCUUUACAAUUAUUUUUCCAAAUAGGAGGAACAUUAGACGGAGAAGGUUUUAUGAUAGACUUAUGAUGAGGCGACGCUAAUGAGAUGGGUGAACGACGAUGACCACGAUUUUCAUAUGGAGUACUAAUAAUCAACUCAUAAUCUCGAGCUAAAGAGUAAGCGUGAUUAAGAGUAGUGACGCCUCGAAGGAAAAGCUCGCGCUUAAGAUUAUCUCUCAGACCUUGGCUAAACCUACUCAAAGUCGUGCUCUCAUCCUCAAUUAAAUGACAUUUGGUUCGAAAUUCCUCAAAUUGUGCGUUAUACUCAGUCACUAAUUGGUUUCCUUGUUUAAGGGCAUUCCAUUGAGUAAGAAUUUCAAAAUUAUCUCGUUGUCGCUCACGAAUUUGAUCCCUAUUCCUAUCCCUAUCCUCACAAUCGGGUCGAAAGUAUUUUUGAUUACCUUGUCGACAAUGUUGUCUAUUAUGGGACACCUUAGAAUUAUCAACAUCAAUCGAAUGAGGAAUGUGUUUAAAUUUUUUCAAAGUAACAGAUAGGGCCUCACUCUCUUCAAGAGUAGUGGUCAUUUGAGUUUGAAUAGCCGCUAUUUGUCGGGUGAGUGUAUCGAAUUGUGAGGGGUUCAUGUUUAAGGUACUAGAGCUAGAAGUGACAAGAUGACCAAUAUGUAACUAUAUGCACUGUAAUAGCAAUUUAAUGACAUUCAAUAGAGAGAUCAACGAACAAAAAGUGCAAGUAAUGGAAAAUGAAAAUUUGAGCUAUUUUUUUUUUUUAAAUUUAAAUUUUGGGACUAAAAUUAUAUACAACAAGCUAGUACUGCUGGUAUAUGUAAAAUAAUAAAACAAUGGUCAAAUACUAGUCAAAACCUAAUAACGUAAAAUAAGCAGGUUAAAGUGAGAUUUAACGAGGUCAAUGGAUCCAACUACGUGAGUUUAGAUAAAAAUAGAUCAGCAGCAACACAAAAAUUUAAUUGAUGCAAUUUCAAAAUGAAACAGUAAUAUAAACCGACAAUAAAUAAAAACAAGAACUUCCCUUUCGUUUGUCGAAGUAGUCAAGUCAGAUCAACCAGAAUAAAAGAUGUAUCUGUAAAUAAUAGAAAAGACGUUUCUUCUCUUUUUUUUUUCACUUUUUUUUUUUUGGGAACUGCAGAAAAUGAUAAAUAAAUUAAAAAAAAAAAGAAAUUUCGGGUAUGAACAGUACCCCCUGAACAGUAACAUUUUUUUUUUAUUUUUAUUUUUUAUGAAACUGCUGAAAAAUCUAUAAAAAAAAAACUGAAAUUCCGGGUGUGAACAGUACCCGUGAACAGUUUUUAUUAUUAUUAUUAUUAUUUUUUUUGGCCUAAUCAACUAGAAAGAAAAUUGAACAAGAAAACUGCUGUCUCAUAACAAUUUUUUUUGUUUGUGCUGUUCCACAAGUUUUUUGGAAGAAGAUAGGAAAAAAGUUUUGGGUUGUGGAUGAAAAAUUACCCAAGUUUUGGUUCUGAUACCACUUUGAUGCAGGAUGAGGGAUGAUUCCUGCAGAAUAAUUAGAAAUAGCAAAAUAGCACAACUAGUAAGUAGAAUUCCAGCGAGAAGAAGAAGAAGGCAGCAAGAAGGGGGAAAGGACCAGAGGGGGGGGGGGACCAGAGAAGAAGUAGAAAUCAGGGGAAAGGGGAGAAGGAGGAAGCCAUAGGCAACAACCCAAGCAUUCUAUUCUUUAAUUCAUCAAUUCAUCAACUGUCUCAAAUACGCAACAAAACAGAAAUAAAUAACAAAACAAAAAUCCUAAAGAGAAGGGCUUGGGCCAAAUCUGCUAAACAAGCCCAAUAAUAGAAAUAUAAAUAAUAAUCCAAAUAAAAUAUAACUAAUAGUCCAAAUAGAAAAUAAAUAGUAAAUGGAAGAAAAUAAAUAGUAAAUAGAUGUCCGCAUCAAUAUGUAGAACUAUUGACUUCUUGACAAUAGAUAACGGUUUAUGUUGAUUGCUACCGGUAAAAGAGUGUUAUCAGAUGCCUGGGCUUUGGAUACUGCUCAAAAACCAUAUGUGGCAGAGGCUUAAUCCAGAAGGUGAUAGACCUUAUGCAAGUAUGUAAGUUGCAUUGCAUAUCUGAAUUUGAAUUAGCAUUGCUCGGCUUUUGAACAACUUUUCUGCCAUAACAGGCUGGUUAGCAGUGUGCUUCCUUUCACACUAUCGUUGAACUGUGCUGGUGUACUGCUCCUUUAUUUUCUAUUGCUGCUUAAAACUUUUAAUUAACCAAUUUUUAGAGCAUGUUUGGCUAAUCCUAGAAAGUAAACUUACCUAUUUUUUUUCUCAAAAAAGUAAUUAAAUGCUUUUAAAAAUUAACAUAUCAUGCUGAAUUGUUUUUGAAAAAGACUUUUGAAAAAUUGCCAGACCAGUUUGGGAGAAGAAGUAACUUAAAAGUAACUUAUAAAGAUCCAGACAUGAUUUGGCCAAGCUUAAAGUACUUUUAAUUAACUUUACUUAUUUCUUAAGCUUAUCCAAACACGCUCUUAGAUGAUCUCAAGACAAUAUUAUAAUUGUUUCUUGGGGAAGUUCCCCACCAAUAAUCUGUUCAGACUUUUAACUUGUCACUACAAAAAAUGUUUUUAAUUGGUUUGUGCAUUUUUCUUGAAAUGAUUUCAAGCAAGUGGGAUUUUGGUUUAACCAAUUGGUUUUAUAGCGGGAUUGGGCUACUCUGUGUGGGAUUUGAUGCAUUGCUUGAUCAUUUGAUUAGAAAGGUUAUGUAAUUUUUUUGUGGAUUUCAAUCUCAAUUUGGUUUUCGGUCAAUUUGAAGAUAAAGUGGGGAUGAUGGAAGCGAUUGAACUGUGAAAAUUUGAUUUUCAUGUUUAAGAAAUUGGGAUAAGACUGCCAACUUAAUUUAUCAUGUGUAAUUCAAUUAUUUGAUGCCAUUAAUUUGGCAUAGAAUUUGCUAUAAGAUGCAAGUAUCUUUUGCACCGUAGCGUAGAUAGAGAUAUCACUAGCAUCUAAUUCCUUGAGUUUUGAUUUCUUGUGCAUUAUAGUAUACUGCAAAACAACUUUCUUCAGUCACUAUUAGAGUUAUUGCUCUUUUAAUCAUAUACUCCUAGCUUUCCAUUCUUCUUCAUUUUUUAUUAUAUAUGCUAUUUGCUUUUGUUGAUGCCUACUACCGUGCAACAACAAUUAAAAGUGGACACUUGGACUGAUUUUUUAAGUCUUGUGAGAUUCAGAUAUAUAAAUAUAGAGGAUAUCCAUUCUAAAUGAUCGAGUCCAAAUCUUAGUGCCCAUCUCAUGCUUUCUAUAGGAUAGAACCAACAAAUUUGGAAAAAUUUAAUGCAGUAGAUUCGAUUUUUUGUUCUUUGGGUGAAGAUCCAUUAAAGAAAGAGCUCAUUGAAACUCCUGCUCGCUUUGUGAAGUAGUUGAUUAAGUUUAGAAGCUAAAUUUGAUCUUGUCUUGGCAUGUAGUAUCUUCAAUUUCUUCCCAAGUAUGUGAAUUUCUUUUACUCUGGUAAGUGAAGAUCUUAUAGCUUCGUGAAUAAGAACUUUUGGCUUCAAGAAGUGUUUGUAUGUUGAACUGGAGAUGUGAUUUCCUGCUUACACUAAUAUCAGAAUACAUGGAAGUCAAAUUAACAAAAAGGCUUUGUUAUGUGGUUAAGAAUAAUUUUCUAGAUGACAUCUGACAUAAAUAAAUUACUCAAAUAAAGAAGUUCAACGAGCAUUUGAAACGACAUGAAAAACUUUAAGAUUGAUACAGUAUUGGUAUGGAGUUUGGUUUAAGGUUUCACUGCAAAAAGGGAUUUGGUGAUGUUGCUUCUAGGAUUUGCAGUAAAAUUGGCACGAGAAGCAAAGGAAGUUGCUGCAAAUGUCUAUGUUGAAUGCGAUAUUGGCAUCCAUUGACCGAGGAACCUAUUCAACAGGCAUGUUACAAAAAUUGAAACAAAAUAUGCUUUCACAUGUGCUCAUUCUUUAUUUAUAUUUCUCUACAUUGGGAGCAUUCUAAAUAGAAUCUAUGUUUUCCUCACUUACAGAUGGUGUUUUGUAGGAAACAAUUCACAUUUUUUAUUGUUGAUAUAAGUGAACGAAAAAAAGAAUAUGCAUCAAUCUUUUGAAGAGAGCUGGACAUUACAUGACAUUGCAGGUAAAAAAAUAGCUACUCCAUCUCGUUCUCUAGUUUAUCGUUGUUGGUGCAAAGUUUUUGUCGUGUUUGCUGCAGGGGAGGUUGCAUCCUUUACAGAUAGAUAUGGACUAGCGAUUAGCCUUCCGUUGGCAACUACUACUUUACUAAAUAAGCAAAUUCAAUAUCGGUAUUCUCAUGGAAUAGGUAAUUACUAAUAUUUAGAAAGGGUGACUUUGUUUUAUGUGUGUUCUAAAUACACAUUAUGUCUUAAAUUUUAAUUUUUUUAGUGCGUUUCUUUGUGUAGUAAUAUUAGCUUUUGAAAUGAUCAUCUUGUUGGAUAGAGCAUUAUCGAGG
rnacentral:lncRNA from 1 species